CUCCGAACGCACCGCGCGGCGCUCCGGCAGCCGGGACGUCUUCCUCGCUGCCGAUGCUGCUGUGGGAAGGAAUGACAAUCCGAAAGAAGUUGACUGCAGCGAGGUUCAAAACUUGUUUAAGCAAAAAGCUUUUCCCAAAUUAAUACAUAUCUCAGUUAUCUUUCAAACCACAGCAAAAAGUCUGUAAGAACUCCUUGACAAUGCUGAGACACAUUGCAGAAGGCUACUCAACAUGUUUUCAAUGUGUUUUUUCCUGUAAGCCAGGGUUUUGUUCAGAUAGAGAGAUGGACAUGUGCUUCAACAAGUGAGCAAAGCAGAGCUGAAAUAACAGAACCCAUAAGAAGGGCACAGCACUACAGUAUUGGAUCUGGUACGUCUCUUCUGACAGUGCUACUACUUCCUCCUCCACCUCCAUCAGCAGAUGCUGAUAACAGCACAAGUGCAAUCGCUUUCCACGUGGACAACAGUCAGUAAAAUGGGUCUCCUUAGGAGCAGUGAACUCAACAUUUUAACCUGGAUUUUUUAAAUCACCGUUAAACAGAAAAAUACGAAGACCACAGAAGAAAAGCAGCACUUGGUUAUGUAAUGGUUGUGGCGUGACAAAACUUGACAAGUGGGAUGCUGACUUUGAAUGGCUCAUUUGCUAUCAGUGACGGCCCCAGUGUGAUGCUGAAGUUCCCCAGAUUGACAGUACUUGUGGAGGAAGCAACCUGACUACCCCACUACCAGGUUUGCAUGGCCUCUGCUCAAAGCUGAUAAAGACAAAACGUUAAAAAUGAAAUCUACAAAAAGCCUAAUGUCCCUGUACGUUAGGAGCUCCAUACAGGAGGUACCCUUCAAAGAUUAAGCGUACCGCAUCGCUGUGGGCAAAAGCCAGAACAUCACGAGUGCACAUUUCUUUUCUGUAUGCAGUGAUCUCUUGAGAAAUUCCUUGAGAAGGAAGGCUUCUGGAGGCCUUUGGUUUGAGAAGCACACGGUGAAUUUGAGAUAGAAAAGACAUUCAACUUCCACGUUCCAUAUAAACAGAUUCAUAGCAGAGCAGCCCCAGGAGAUCAGGAUUCGACACAGUUGUAGCCUCUAAAUGAAGGUUCCACAGCACGAGUGCUGUGCUAUGGCUGCACGUGUUUUAUUUAGUUUAGUGUAGUGACCCUCCAGUAAUCAGUGCAGCAUUUAAACUGAGAGCUGUGGUUCCCACUAUUUUUUCAAAGCUUGUAAUUGCAAACACUUCAAAAUGAUUUAUGGGUACCAUUCCUUUAUCCACCUCCCUCACUUUAUUUUUCCCCAUUGGCAGACACGUGUAACUUUUUUCUGACUUUACUAGAUUUCAUUAGCUGAAAAUCUCUUCUUACAGGGCAAAUGCUUAAUAAUACCAGGUAUUCUAAAAUAAAGUGAGCAGCUGUCCUGUAUCUUAUUUGCAGAUGAAUAAAGGAAUAUUUCUACUUAGCCUGUUCAUAAAUGCAAUAAAAACCUUUAAAAGUCAAUUAAGACAGUC
ensembl:lncRNA